UACAGGGGGUGCAAACGUUGCUCGGAAUCAUUGGGCGUAAAGCGCACGUAGGCGGCUCGUUAUGUCGGAUGUGAAAGCCCUUGGCUUAACCGAGGAAGUGCAUCCGAAACUGGCGAGCUAGAGUACGUAAGAGGAUCGCGGAAUUCCCGGUGUAGAGGUGAAAUUCGUAGAUAUCGGGAGGAACACCGGUGGCGAAGGCGGCGAUCUGGGUCGAUACUGACGCUGAGGUGCGGAAGCGUGGGGAGCAAACAGG
rnacentral:rRNA from 1 species